rnacentral:rRNA from 1 species
CGAAGGGGCUAGCGUUGUUCGGAAUUACUGGGGCGUAAAGGGCGCGUAGGCGGCUCUGUGCGUCGUGCGUGAAAGGCCUGGGCUCAACCCAGGAACGGCGCACGAUACGACGGAGCUAGAGUGCAGGAGAGGAUGGUGGAGUUCCCAGUGUAGAGGUGAAAUUCGUAGAUAUUGGGAAGAACACCGGUGGCGAAGGCGGCCAUCUGGACUGCAACUGACGCUGAGGCGCGAAAGCGUGGGGGAGCAAACAGGAUU